rnacentral:lncRNA from 1 species
GGGCCCACAAGCUUUGGGCUCGCACGAUCUCUUUUGGCCCAACGUGACCUAGAAUAGCCUAAGCCCAUGAAAUUCUCAUGGUGACCUCUACGAUCAAACGCACACGUUUUAGGCAUAUGGAUUACAACACGAGUGAGCGCAUGCUCGUGUAGCAUCAAUAAUCCUAUUUUCUGGCUUUUGUAGAUAUAUGAUGAUAGCAGUGUGGUUACACACCUGUUUGCGAAAAUGUACGUCUAGCUCAAGAGUUCCCCAACCUUGAUUGCAAGAGUGUGGUUAGCCC